AGCGCAUACGGUGGAUGCCUUGGCAGUCAGAGGCGAUGAAAGACGUGGUAGCCUGCGAAAAGCUUCGGGGAGUCGGCAAACAGACUUUGAUCCGGAGAUCUCUGAAUGGGGGAACCCACCUAGGAUAACCUAGGUAUCUUGUACUGAAUCCAUAGGUGCAAGAGGCGAACCAGGGGAACUGAAACAUCUAAGUACCCUGAGGAAAAGAAAUCAACCGAGAUUCCCUUAGUAGUGGCGAGCGAACGGGGAUUAGCCCUUAAGCUUCAUUGAUUUUAGCGGAACGCUCUGGAAAGUGCGGCCAUAGUGGGUGAUAGCCCCGUACGCGAAAGGAUCUUUGAAGUGAAAUCGAGUAGGACGGAGCACGAGAAACUUUGUCUGAACAUGGGGGGACCAUCCUCCAAGGCUAAAUACUACUGACUGACCGAUAGUGAACCAGUACCGUGAGGGAAAGGCGAAAAGAACCCCGGAGAGGGGAGUGAAAUAGAACCUGAAACCGUAUGCGUACAAGCAGUGGGAGCCUACUUGUUAGGUGACUGCGUACCUUUUGUAUAAUGGGUCAGCGACUUAUAUUCAGUGGCAAGCUUAACCGUAUAGGGUAGGCGUAGCGAAAGCGAGUCUUAAUUAGGGCGUUUAGUCGGCUGGGUAUAGACCCGAAACCGGGCGAUCUAUCCAUGAGCAGGUUGAAGGUUAGGUAACACUGACUGGAGGACCGGAACCCACUCCCGUUGAAAAGGUAGGGGAUGACUUGUGGAUCGGAGUGAAAGGCUAAUCAAGCUCGGAGAUAGCUGGUUCUCCUCGAAAGCUAUUUAGGUAGCGCCUCAUGUAUCACUCUGGGGGGUAGAGCACUGUUUCGGCUAGGGGGUCAUCCCGACUUACCAAACCGAUGCAAACUCCGAAUACCCAGAAGUGCCGAGCAUGGGAGACACACGGCGGGUGCUAACGUCCGUCGUGAAAAGGGAAACAACCCAGACCGCCAGCUAAGGUCCCAAAGUUGUGGUUAAGUGGUAAACGAUGUGGGAAGGCUUAGACAGCUAGGAGGUUGGCUUAGAAGCAGCCAUCCUUUAAAGAAAGCGUAAUAGCUCACUAGUCGAGUCGGCCUGCGCGGAAGAUGUAACGGGGCUCAAACCACACACCGAAGCUGCGGGUGUCACGUAAGUGACGCGGUAGAGGAGCGUUCUGUAAGCCUGUGAAGGUGAGUUGAGAAGCUUGCUGGAGGUAUCAGAAGUGCGAAUGCUGACAUGAGUAACGACAAUGGGUGUGAAAAACACCCACGCCGAAAGACCAAGGGUUCCUGCGCAACGUUAAUCGACGCAGGGUUAGUCGGUUCCUAAGGCGAGGCUGAAAAGCGUAGUCGAUGGGAAACAGGUUAAUAUUCCUGUACUUCUGGUUACUGCGAUGGAGGGACGGAGAAGGCUAGGCCAGCUUGGCGUUGGUUGUCCAAGUUUAAGGUGGUAGGCUGAAAUCUUAGGUAAAUCCGGGGUUUCAAGGCCGAGAGCUGAUGACGAGUCGUCUUUUAGAUGACGAAGUGGUUGAUGCCAUGCUUCCAAGAAAAGCUUCUAAGCUUCAGGUAACCAGGAACCGUACCCCAAACCGACACAGGUGGUCGGGUAGAGAAUACCAAGGCGCUUGAGAGAACUCGGGUGAAGGAACUAGGCAAAAUGGCACCGUAACUUCGGGAGAAGGUGCGCCGGCUAGGGUGAAGGAUUUACUCCGUAAGCUCUGGCUGGUCGAAGAUACCAGGCCGCUGCGACUGUUUAUUAAAAACACAGCACUCUGCAAACACGAAAGUGGACGUAUAGGGUGUGACGCCUGCCCGGUGCCGGAAGGUUAAUUGAUGGGGUUAGCGCAAGCGAAGCUCUUGAUCGAAGCCCCGGUAAACGGCGGCCGUAACUAUAACGGUCCUAAGGUAGCGAAAUUCCUUGUCGGGUAAGUUCCGACCUGCACGAAUGGCGUAACGAUGGCGGCGCUGUCUCCACCCGAGACUCAGUGAAAUUGAAAUCGCUGUGAAGAUGCAGUGUAUCCGCGGCUAGACGGAAAGACCCCGUGAACCUUUACUGUAGCUUUGCACUGGACUUUGAGCCUGCUUGUGUAGGAUAGGUGGGAGGCUUUGAAGCGUGGACGCCAGUUCGCGUGGAGCCAUCCUUGAAAUACCACCCUGGCAUGCUUGAGGUUCUAACUCUGGUCCGUGAUCCGGAUCGAGGACAGUGUAUGGUGGGCAGUUUGACUGGGGCGGUCUCCUCCUAAAGAGUAACGGAGGAGUACGAAGGUGCGCUCAGACCGGUCGGAAAUCGGUCGCAGAGUAUAAAGGCAAAAGCGCGCUUGACUGCGAGACAGACACGUCGAGCAGGUACGAAAGUAGGUCUUAGUGAUCCGGUGGUUCUGUAUGGAAGGGCCAUCGCUCAACGGAUAAAAGGUACUCCGGGGAUAACAGGCUGAUACCGCCCAAGAGUUCAUAUCGACGGCGGUGUUUGGCACCUCGAUGUCGGCUCAUCACAUCCUGGGGCUGAAGCCGGUCCCAAGGGUAUGGCUGUUCGCCAUUUAAAGUGGUACGCGAGCUGGGUUUAGAACGUCGUGAGACAGUUCGGUCCCUAUCUGCCGUGGACGUUUGAGAUUUGAGAGGGGCUGCUCCUAGUACGAGAGGACCGGAGUGGACGAACCUCUGGUGUUCCGGUUGUCACGCCAGUGGCAUUGCCGGGUAGCUAUGUUCGGAAAAGAUAACCGCUGAAAGCAUCUAAGCGGGAAACUUGCCUCAAGAUGAGAUCUCACUGGGAACUUGAUUCCCCUGAAGGGCCGUCGAAGACUACGACGUUGAUAGGCUGGGUGUGUAAGCGUUGUGAGGCGUUGAGCUAACCAGUACUAAUUGCCCGUGAGGCUUGACC
rnacentral:rRNA from 1 species